rnacentral:lncRNA from 1 species
CGCCCUUUCUGCAAGGUACUCUUUGCAGUUCCUCUUCCAAUGCCCAUCUUUACCAUAGUGGAAGCACUGGCCUUUAUCCUUUGUUGGGUCUUUCUUAGCAACCUUUGCUUUACCUGGUCUGCCCUUGCCCUUUCCCUUCUUAAAGGACCUUUCUGCUUUCCUUUUCUUUCUGGUCUCACCAGUAUAGAGAACUGGCUUCUCUUUCUUAAUAGUACUCUCUGCCUCCCUCAACAUAUUGAGGAGCUCUAGGAGAGUCACC